AUUGAACGCUAGCGGGAUGCUUUACACAUGCAAGUCGAACGAGUGGCGGAAGGGUGAGUAAUAUAUCGGAACGUGCCUAGUAGCGGGGGAUCACUACUCGGAAGAGUGGCUAAUACCGCAUACUAUUGGAGCGGCCGAUAUCGGAUUGGCUAGUUGGUGGGGUAAAGGCGCACCACGGCGACGAUCCGUAGCUGGUUUGAGAGGACGACCAGCCACACUGGGACUGAGACACGGCCCAGACUCCUACGGGAGGCAGCAGUGGGGAAUUUUGGACAAUGGGGGAAACCCUGAUCCAGCCAUGCCGCGUGUAUGAGAAGGCCUUCGGGUUGUAAAGUACUUUUGGCUGAGAGGCGUUAUCUGCAGAAUAAGCACCGGCUAACUACGUGCCAGCCGCCGCGGUAAUAC
rnacentral:rRNA from 1 species